GGUCAGCGGCGGACGGGUGAGUAACACGUGGGUAACCUGCCUGUAAGACUGGGAUAACUCCGGGAAACCGGGGCUAAUACCGGAUGCUUGAUUGAACCGCAUGGUUCCAAUCAUAAAAGGUGGCUUUCAGCUACCACUUACAGAUGGACCCGCGGCGCAUUAGCUAGUUGGUGAGGUAACGGCUCACCAAGGCGACGAUGCGUAGCCGACCUGAGAGGGUGAUCGGCCACACUGGGACUGAGACACGGCCCAGAC
rnacentral:rRNA from 1 species